GGGGUGGGGCUCAGAGCAAGAGCUCUCGCCUAGCGUUCGUGAGGCACUGGGUUCGAUCCUCAGCACCACA
rnacentral:tRNA from 1 species